CGAGUACGAGACGCUAAGGCGUCGAAGUAGUGUAUGUCAGACUUCCAAGAAAAGCUCGCAAUGUCAUAUGAUAAAAAAUGCCUGUACCAUAACCGACACAGGUGGGUAGGUAGAGUAUACUAAGGGGCGCGAGAUAACUCUCUCUAAGGAACUCGGCAAAAUAACUCCGUAACUUCGGGAGAAGGAGUGCCUUAUUCUAUAAGGUUGCAAUAACAAGAUCCAAGCAACUGUUUAUCAAAAACACAGGUCUCCGCUAAGUCGUAAGACGAUGUAUGGGGGCUGACGCCUGCCCAGUGCCAGAAGGUUAAAGAAGUCGGUUAGCAUUAGCGAAGCUGGUAACUGAAGCCCUGGUGAACGGCGGCCGUAACAAUAACGGUCCUAAGGUAGCGAAAUUCCUUGUCGGGUAAGUUCCGACCCGCACGAAAGGCGUAAUGAUUUGGAUACUGUCUCGGAGAGGGGCUCGGUGAAAUAGACUUGUCUGUGAAGAUGCGGACUACCUGCACCAGGACAGAAAGACCCUAUGAAGCUUUACUGUAACUUGAAAUUGAAAUUGGACUUUAUUCGCGCAGUAUAGGUGGGAGGCGUUGAUUAUAAUCUUGUGGGAUUAUUGGAGCCAUCAGUGAGAUACCACUCUUGUAAUGUUAGAUUUCUAACUUUGAAUCAUUAUCUGGUCAAAGGACAGUUUCAGGCGGGCAGUUUGACUGGGGCGGUCGCCUCCUAAACGGUAACGGAGGCGUACAAAGGUUUCCUCUGAACGGGUAGAAAUCGUAUCUAGAGUGUAAAGGCAUAAGGAAGCUUGACUGUGAGACCUACAAGUCGAGCAGGGACGAAAGUCGGUCUUAGUGAUCUGACGGUACUGAGUGGAAAGGCCGUCACUCAACGGAUAAAAGUUACUCUAAGGAUAACAGGCUGAUCUCCCCCAAGAGUUCACAUCGACGGGGAGGUUUGGCACCUCGAUGUCGGCUCAUCGCAUCCUGGGGCGGUAGUACGUCCCAAGGGUUGGGCUGUUCGCCCAUGAAAGCGGUACGCGAGCUGGGUUCAGAACGUCGUGAGACAGUUCGGUCCAUAUCCGGUGUAGGCGUUAGAAUAUUGAGAGGAGCCCUCUUUAGUACGAGAGGACCGAGAAGGACAUACCUCUGGUGUACCAGUUAUCGUGCCAACGGUAAACGCUGGGUAGCUAUGUAUGGAGUGGAUAACCGCUGAAAGCAUCUAAGUGGGAAGCCCACCUCAAGAUAAGUAUUCAC
rnacentral:rRNA from 1 species